rnacentral:rRNA from 1 species
UACGAAGGGGGCUAGCGUUGCUCGGAAUUACUGGGCGUAAAGCGUGCGCAGGCGGUUUUGUAAGCCAGAUGUGAAAUCCCCGGGCUUAACCUGGGAAUGGCAUUUGGGACUGCAAGGCUCGAGUGCGGCAGAGGAGACUGGAAUUCCUGGUGUAGCAGUGAAAUGCGCAGAUAUCGGGAAGAACACCCGUGGCGAAGGCGGCUCUCUGGGACGGUACUGACGCUGAGACGCGAAAGCGUGGGGAGCGAACAGG